rnacentral:rRNA from 1 species
UAGGGAAUAUUGGGCAAUGCACGCAAGUGUGACCCAGCCAUGCCGCGUGCAGGAAGAAGGCCUUCUGGGUUGUAAACUGCUUUUGGAAGGGAACAAAAAGACACUGCGGUGUAAAUUGAGUGUACCUUCAGAAUAAGCACCGGCUAACUCCGUGCCAGCAGCCGCGGUAAUACGGAGGGUGCAAGCGUUGUCCGGAUUUAUUGGGUUUAAAGGGUGCGUAGGCGGCUUAUUAAGUCAGGGGUGAAAGACUGCAGCUUAACUGUAGCAGUGCCUUUGAUACUGAUGAGCUUGAGUACAGAUGAGGCAGGCGGAAUGGGUGGUGUAGCGGUGAAAUGCAUAGAUACCAUCCAGAACACCGAUUGCGAAGGCAGCCUGCUAAACUGUAACUGACGCUGAGGCACGAAAGCGUGGGGAUCGAACAGG